ACACGUAGGGGGCGAGCGUUGUCCGGAAUUACUGGGCGUAAAGGGCGCGUAGGCGGCUUAUUAAGUCUGAUGUGAAACCCCUGGGCUUAACCCUGGGCUUGCAUUAGAAACUGUUGAGCUUGAGGACAGGAGAGGAAAGCGGAAUUCCCAGUGUAGCGGUGAAAUGCGUAGAUAUUGGGAAGAACACCAGUGGCGAAGGCGGCUUUCUGGACUGCACCUGACGCUGAGGCGCGAAAGCCAGGGGAGCGAACGGGAUUAGAUACCCCGGUAGUCCUGGCCGUAAACGAUGGAUACUAGGUGUGGGAGGUAUCGACCCCUUCCGUGCCGCAGUUAACACAUUAAGUAUCCCGCCUGGGGAGUACGGCCGCAAGGCUGAA
rnacentral:rRNA from 1 species